CUUGGAACCAUGGGAAUUUAUCUCAUGUAGUUCCUUGGGUUGAUUAUGCAGGCAAGGCAAGCUUUCUGCUCUUCAGAAGGAUAAAGGAGAUCCUGUAUGUGGAGGUCCCUGGAGGUUUGUGCAGCUAGGUGAUUUCUAAGGGACAUACUGCUAGCUCGAUGAAGAGGCCAAAUAAAGUUACUCCCAGGACUUCAAGUUUCUUGCUGCUGGGCUUGCACAGAGGACCUGAGUUCCCUCAAGGAGGCCAAGGAGAAAGACAAACACAUGCAUUCUGGAGGGGAAAGCGUGUCUGCCCUGCAUUUGAGAUGACACAAUUGUCCAUGCAGAAUUCAGAGCAGGUAGCACCUCCAGACCACUGAAAAAGAUCUGAAAGCAUUAGCAACAAUGGCUGUGACCAUAAGGUCAUGCAGUUGCCCUUUGGAGAAAGAGCAGCCACGCCAAAAUAGAAGAGAAUUGAAAAUUCUCAGAUUCAAGAAUGCCCUGCUCUUCUGACUUCUUUGGACCCCACUGGACAAAGAAUCAUCUUGGGUCAUAAAUCAAAAUCAGGAUGUGUGACCACUAGCUCACGAGUUCCUAAGGGAGACAGACACUUAUUUUGUGUGACUUUGUGACUUGAUACUGGCAUCCACAAAGUUCAUGCCUGAGACUAGUUAAUCAUGUUACAAAGAAGCAGAAGAGAAUAAACGCUCAAUAUUUUAUAUUAAUGAUAUUU
rnacentral:lncRNA from 1 species